rnacentral:rRNA from 1 species
AUGCCAGGCCAUGAUAAGACUUUUGCGGACAGACGACGAUGGAUGCAUAUCGACAAAUAUACCAGAGAGCUAGUAUCACAGCUUAGAGAGAACAAUGUGAACCUGAGCAAAGUUUACAGUACUCUUGCAACUUUUUUUGGGAGGGUCGAAAAUGUGCCGUUCACCAAAAGGUGCCUCAGGACAUUAUGUGGGAAGCUGAGCAGGGAGCAGGCCGAUGACGAUGUACGGAAGACGAUGGCAAUUUUUUCAGAGAUGAAGGUCCAAGACAGCGAGUUCAGUUACAAUGUGCAGGUAGAUGAUGAAAGUAGAAUACGUACUCUCAUGUGGACGAAUGGACGUAGCAAAAAACAAUACCACCAUUUUGGCGAUGUGGUGACGUUCGACACCACAUACAAGACUAAUCUAUACGAUAUGCCAUUCGGUAUUUUUGUUGGCGUGAACAACCACUUUCAAAGUGUGCUGUAUGCUGGUGUGCUCAUGCGAGAUGAGACGGUCGACACUUUCAAAUGGAUUUUUGAUGAGUUUGUGAAGAUGAUGGGAGGGAAAAGACCAAUUACCAUUUUAACAGACCAAGCGAGGGCGAUGGAAGUCGCUAUUGAGGACGUAUAUCCGGAUGCAACACAGAGAUGGUGCAAGUGGCACAUCCUGAAGAAGGCCAAAGAGAGCCUGGGGUCUAAUUACACCAAGAAAUCUGAUUUCAGGGCAGAAUUCCACAAAUUGGUUCACGAAAUGCUGACUAUAGAGGAGUUUGAGGACAGGUGGGCAGCGUUGCUUGAGAAGUAUUCACUGACUAAGAACACGCACCUGACGCAAAUUUACGAGACAAGGCAGAAAUGGGCCAAGCCAUACUUUGCAGGAAAAUUCUGCGCAAGGCAAACCAGCACUGGGAGGAGUGAGAGCGCCAAUCACAUGUUGAAACAGUAUGUGCCACCUUCUUGCUCAAUGAAUCUGUUUGUCAAGCAGUACAACAAGCUACAGUUUGACCGUGAACAAGAAGAGGGGUUCCAGGAAAAACGAACCAGGCUGAGUGGAGCUGUCUUGAAGGUCAACACCCCACUAGAAAUGCACGCUAGCAAGGUGUACACCAGGAAGAUGUUCGAGAUUUUCGGGGGGAUAUUGUACGAAUCCGGAAGCUAUGAUGUAGAAGAGAUCAUACCAAAACAGAAAUACAUAGUGACACACGUGAAGGCUGAAAAGCGAGAGAAAUGGUUCAAAUGCCGCUACGAGGUCAAUGUGUCUGAUAAUUUGGGGUAUUUCUCCUGCAUAUGCGGCCUGUUCGAGCACAUGGGGAUGGUUUGCUGUCACUCGCUGCAGUCAUGA